UCAGCCUCCAGUAGUUCCCUGCCUGCCCAGUCGUAACUCUCUCAGUAUGACCUCCUGCUCUCCGCCACUGCUCAUCCUUCCUCACUCAAAAUCCUGCUCCGCAUCUCCAUGGAUUAGUCGGGGAGCUACCGUCAACACGAGGGGGAAGAGAGAAAACAAAGGUCAAGCCAGAAAUGACGUGAUGGAGGCAAAGUCUGCUCCUGCGUGUGUGCGGCGAGAUCGAGUUUGCGUACCGACGUGCACGUGUGUGUGGAGAGAGCGAGGCAGACGCCGAACGAUAACACCGAGAAGAGAGGAGCAGGAGACAAGACAAACAUAUUCCUCUUUACCUUGGAUUUCCAGGCUGAGUCACUGCAGAUGGAGGGCAUUUUUCAUGCGGCACUUCUACACACACUUCUCUUCACUGCUAUAUUUUUUAUGACACUCCUCCCCACGGAUGCUGGGAGUCUUGAGGAGGCCCAUGACAGUGAUUAAUAUAACAGGCUGCUGUUACCGCCUUGACAUUUGAGUUUUUCUCCUACAUCAUGGCACGUCCGCUUCAUUCUUCAUCGGGCGGGUUACCGUGGCAGCCUCGCAUCCUCCACUGGUACUGGGGAGGGAUGGCGGCUUGCAGAAUAUUCAAACUUCCUUCUGGCUCAUAUAGUUUACCAUCGAUGUCAUCUGUCUCUGUUUUGCCGCAUCCCUCAAAUGGACUUCCUUUGCGUUUCAGGUGGCCUUUUUCCUUUGAUGCACAGAUUACAGAUUUGGAAGUAGGCCAAAUUGCAAGUUUUGGCCUACUUAUACCAAUUUUAGUCCAUUCCUUUCAUUCUUUCAGAAUUAUGACUAACAGCAUUCAAAUUACUUGUAUAGCCGUCCAGCAGUUUUAAGUGAUUUAUUAUUUAUCUUAGAGAAAUACUAAAUGAUAAAUAAUUACUUUACAGUCAACUUGUCUAUCCUUCGUCUUUAGGGUCUUAUGUUGGUAAUUAGCGCUGUUAGCAUACUUAAAAUAAUAUAAUUGUCUGUGUAUAUUCCCCUAUAGAAGUGAUACUCCAAAAUGUGGCCCCAGGAAUCAUUUGCAACCCUUCUUCAUGUUGUAGCAGACUGAAUGAACUGCUAAUGUGUUGAAUGGUUUCCAUUUAAAUAGCUUUGUACACUUUUGUGGUGGGUUUUGAAACAGAAAAUGGCUAUGUUUCUGGCUUCAUUCCACUGUAAACCCCCUUUUACACCAAAGAGUGUUCCAUACUAACCUGGUAGAGCUCAUGCACGACACAUUCACUAAUCAAUAGAAUUAUUAGAUUUAUUUUUCCCAACUGGUUGAUUAAGGAUUAAAAAACGGCCUGUGCCUGUCAAAAAACUGUUUCCUUAGUGUCCCUCUUCAUCUAAUCUAUUUAAUUCCGUCCAAUUAAAAUUUAUUUAUACAGCAUCAAUUCACACCACAUUAUCUCAAAGCACUUUACAAUGUCAUUUCAACCAAAUCAGGCUGAUCUGCUAUAUAGUGUUCAGUCUAAGGAAACCCAGCAGAGUGCAUCAAGACAUUAGCUCACAUGAUUUACUCCUCCUGGAUGAGCGUGUAGUGACAGUGGACAGUCGCUGGCAGCAUGUUCUUGUCUUUGCAGCAUUACUUCAUACCGGCCAUGCAUGU